GGGGAAUUUUCCGCAAUGGGCGAAAGCCUGACGGAGCAAUACCGCGUGAGGGAGGAAGGCUCUUGGGUUGUAAACCUCUUUUCUCAGGGAAGAAGAAAUGACGGUACCUGAGGAAUAAGCAUCGGCUAACUCCGUGCCAGCAGCCGCGGUAAUACGGAGGAUGCAAGCGUUAUCCGGAAUGAUUGGGCGUAAAGGGUCCGCAGGUGGCAUUGAAAGUCUGCUGUUAAAGAGUCUAGCUCAACUAGAUAAGAGCAGUGGAAACUACAAAGCUAGAGUUUGGUCGGGGCAGAAGGAAUUCCUGGUGUAGCGGUGAAAUGCGUAGAUAUCAGGAAGAACACCAGUGGCGAAGGCGUUCUGCUAGGCCGAGACUGACACUGAGGGACGAAAGCUAGGGGAGCGAAUGGGAUUAGAUACCCCAGUAGUC
rnacentral:rRNA from 1 species